UACGUAGGUGGCAAGCGUUGUCCGGAUUUACUGGGCAUAAAGCGCACGUAGGUGGUCCGCUAAGUCGCGUGUGAAAUCCCCCGGCUCAACCGGGGAAAUGCGCGUGAUACUGGCGGGCUUGAGAUCGGGAGGGGUGAAUGGAACUCCAGGUGGAGCGGUGAAAUGCGUAGAUAUCUGGAGGAACACCGGUGGCGAAAGCGGUUCACUGGCCCGACACUGACACUGAGGUGCGAAAGCUAGGGUAGCAAACGGG
rnacentral:rRNA from 1 species